UACAGAGGUCCCAAGCGUUGUUCGGAUUCACUGGGCGUAAAGGGUGCGUAGGCGGCUGGGUAAGCCUGACGUGAAAUCUCCAAGCUCAACUUGGAAACGGCGUUGGAUACUAUCCAGCUCGAGGAAUGGAGGGGAGACUGGAAUACUUGGUGUAGCAGUGAAAUGCGUAGAUAUCAAGUGGAACACCAGUGGCGAAGGCGAGUCUCUAGACAUUUCCUGACGCUGAGGCACGAAAGCCAGGGGAGCAAACGGG
rnacentral:rRNA from 1 species